AACCUUUAGCCUAACCAAUAUUAAAGGCAACGCCUGCCCAGUGAACAAUUAAACGGCCGCGGUACCCUAACCGUGCAAAGGUAGCGUAAUCACCUGUCUAUUAAUUGUAGACCCGUAUGAAUGGCAAAAUGAGGAUCUAACUGUCUCUUAUAGUAAGUCAAUUAAACUGAUCUCCCAGUCCAAAAGCUGGAAUAUAAACAUAAGACCAGAAGACCCUGUGAAGCUUAAACUAAACUAUUAAAUCGCAUAAUACCUCCUUUCGGUUGGGGCGACCUUGGAAACAAAAAGAACUUCCACAUACAUAACAUUCACAACAACACAGGCAAACAAGCCAAAAAAGACCCAGCACAGCUGAUUAUUGAACCAAGUUACUCCAGGGAUAACAGCGCCAUCUUCUUCAAGAGCCCAUAUCAAAAAGAAGGUUUACGACCUCGAUGUUGGAUCAGGACAUCCUAAUGGUGCAGCCGCUAUUAAGGGUUCGUUUGUUCAACGAUUAACAGUCCC
rnacentral:rRNA from 1 species